UACAGAGGUGGCAAGCGUUUGUUCGGAAUUACUGGGCGUAAAGCGCGCGUAGGCGGCUUUGUAAGUUAGAGGUGAAAGCCCGGGGCUCAACUCCAGAACUGCCUUUGAGACUGCAUCGCUUGAAUCCAGGAGAGGUGAGUGGAAUUCCGAGUGUAGAGGUGAAAUUCGUAGAUAUUCGGAAGAACACCAGUGGCGAAGGCGGCUCACUGGACUGGUAUUGACGCUGAGGUGCGAAAGCGUGGGGAGCAAACAGG
rnacentral:rRNA from 1 species